rnacentral:rRNA from 1 species
GACGAACGCUGGCGGCGUGCCUAAUACAUGCAAGUCGAACGGAAAGGCCCUGCUCUUGCGGGGUGCUCGAGUGGCGAACGGGUGAGUAACACGUGUGUAACCUGCCCCUGACUUUGGGAUAACAUUAGGAAACUGGGGCUAAUAUCGGAUAGGAUCUCCUGCAGCACGGUGGGGGUUGGAAAGUUUCGGCGGUUGGGGAUGGACUCGCUGCUUACGAGCUUGUUGGGGAGGUAGGUGAUUACCAAGGGUUUGACGGGUAGCCGACAUGGGAGGGUGGACGGCCACAUUGGGCCUACGAGAGGGCCCAGACUGCAACCGUACGCAGUGGUGGAGAACCUUGCGCAACAGGGGGACGCCUGAUACGGCGGCGCCGGGUGCGGGAUGCCCGCUUUCGAGUUAUGAACCACUUUGGAAUGUGACAAGGAGUGAGUGACGGUAAUUGGUCAAGAAGCCCCGGCUAACUACGUG